GUGGGGAAUCUUCCACAAUGGACGAAAGUCUGAUGGAGCAACGCCGCGUGAGUGAAGAAGGGUUUCGGCUCGUAAAGCUCUGUUGUCGGGGACGAAUGUGCAGUAUUUGAAUAAAGUAGUGCAAUGACGGUACCUGACGAGGAAGCCACGGCUAACUACGUGCCAGCAGCCGCGGUAAUACGUAGGUGGCAAGCGUUGUCCGGAAUUAUUGGGCGUAAAGGGAGCGCAGGCGGGAAGGUAAGUCGGUCUUAAAAGUGCGGGGCUCAACCCCGUGAUGGGAUCGAAACUAUCUUUCUUGAGUGCAGGAGAGGAAAGUGGAAGUCCUAGUGUAGCGGUGAAAUGCGUAGAUAUUAGGAGGAACACCAGUGGCGAAGGCGACUUUCUGGACUGUAACUGACGCUGAGGCUCGAAAGCCAGGGGAGCGAACGGGAUUAGAUACCCGGGUAGUCC
rnacentral:rRNA from 1 species